GCUUGCUCUGUGGGAUCAGUGGCGAACGGGUGAGUAACACGUGAGCAACCUGCCCCUGACUCUGGGAUAAGCGCUGGAAACGGCGUCUAAUACUGGAUAUGUGACGUGACCGCAUGGUCUGCGUCUGGAAAGAUUUUUCGGUUGGGGAUGGGCUCGCGGCCUAUCAGCUUGUUGGUGAGGUAAUGGCUCACCAAGGCGUCGACGGGUAGCCGGCCUGAGAGGGUGACCGGCCACACUGGGACUGAGACACGGCCCAGACUCCUACGGGAGGCAGCAGUGGGGAAUAUUGCACAAUGGGCGCAAGCCUGAUGCAGCAACGCCGCGUGAGGGAUGACGGCCUUCGGGUUGUAAACCUCUUUUAGCAGGGAAGAAGCGAAAGUGACGGUACCUGCAGAAAAAGCGCCGGCUAACUACGUGCCAGCAGCCGCGGUAAUACGUAGGGCGCAAGCGUUAUCCGGAAUUAUUGGGCGUAAAGAGCUCGUAGGCGGUUUGUCGCGUCUGCUGUGAAAUCCGGAGGCUCAACCUCCGGCCUGCAGUGGGUACGGGCAGACUAGAGUGCGGUAGGGGAGAUUGGAAUUCCUGGUGUAGCGGUGGAAUGCGCAGAUAUCAGGAGGAACACCGAUGGCGAAGGCAGAUCUCUGGGCCGUAACUGACGCUGAGGAGCGAAAGGGUGGGGAGCAAACAGGCUUAGAUACCCUGGUAGUCCACCCCGUAAACGUUGGGAACUAGUUGUGGGGUCCAUUCCACGGAUUCCGUGACGCAGCUAACGCAUUAAGUUCCCCGCCUGGGGAGUACGGCCGCAAGGCUAAAACUCAAAGGAAUUGACGGGGACCCGCACAAGCGGCGGAGCAUGCGGAUUAAUUCGAUGCAACGCGAAGAACCUUACCAAGGCUUGACAUAUA
rnacentral:rRNA from 1 species